rnacentral:lncRNA from 1 species
AAAAAAGUGAAAAAUAGAAGGUCACUAGCCUGCUGGAAGGGACACAAGUUGUAAUUAUUAAUUAAAAAAAUACCCUUCAAGACUAUUAGUGAAACCAGGGAACUUGCUUUGCAAUACUACUAGCACACUUAGUAAAAACCAAUAUGCGUGUGCUUGUCCCACAUCGCCCAAGUAAAGGCUGGAGAGUUGAGGUGAGCACGUAUAAAUACAUAAGGACGAGCCUGUGAAAACAUACUUACCUGGACAGGGUCAAUGGGUGAUCAAGAAGGCCCAUGGCCUAGGUUGGUGACCUCCAUUGCACUUAGGAGGGGUGCCUGCCUAUGGUCUCCUCAAGUAGGAGAGCCAAUGUCAUAAUUUGUUGCCGAGGGGGCUUGCGUUCGCGCAGCCCCUACCUAAAUUUCAGUUCAAUAUUGUGGAACAAGCAAUAAUUCUCAUGCCAAUCUUAUACCCAAAUUUAAUUUUCGUUCUCAAGGGGUUGGGUUCUUCCUAGCCAAUUUAACCCAAGCCAAUUGUAAUUUGUGAAGUUCGUCGCUAUAAAGAAUUGCGAGACUUUGGCUCUGGUGUUUGGUUCUUCCUAGCCAAUUAUAAUUUGUAAAGUUUGAUGUAAGUUUCUAUCAAAAGACCUUGGCUUUGACUAAACUUUAAGUUUAGUCACAAUAGUGAGCCCGUCCUUUUGCACUUGAACACAGUUUAGUCACAAUAGUGAGCCCGUCCUUUUGCACUUGAACACUCUGGUGUUGAUACUAAGAGGGGUGAGGCUGGUUAUCCAUUUCCUUUGCAGCUUGGUGAGCAAAUUGUUAUUCUUGCUUUAAAUGGCUGCGCACAGUAAGUAAAGAAACAUCCCCUUUUUCUGGUUUUGAUAAAAUACAAAAUUUAAAUAAAAAAAAAGGACAACUUAAGCAGUUGAUGAACUGAGUUCAGCUAGCUUCACUUGCUCAAGCACCAUCCUUCAUUUCUUUUAGAAAUUUCAUGUUUUGAAAUCUUGCUUUUUUGUCUCUCUGGAAUAUCAUAGUUAGAGGCUUAGAACCUAAUACUAGGCAAGCGAUGCAAGUAUUGGUUUUGCAGGUUUAAAAUUGGGAACAAAGCUAAAAAGUUAAGGCUGCAGCAUCAAUCUCUAGCUCUUCAUUUUCAACAAAUGUGAUGAAGCACAAGGACCAUAAAAUAAUGGGGUAGUGAAUUAGGGAGUGCCAGAAAUCUUUGGUUGGGUCGGCUGCGAUUAAUUUAAGUUUCCAGACUUUGGUUGGGACGAAUGUCCCACAUUGGAAACGUACAGAAGGUGGAGAUAAGUGUUGGGGGAUAAAUACAAAACUAAGGACCACAUUUAAAAUUACAUACCUGGACGGGGUCUAUGGGUGAUCAAAAAGGCCCAUGGCCUAGGUGGGUGGCUUCCAUUGCACUUUGGAGGUGCACUUGCCUAACAUCUCCCUAGAGGAGACUGUACGUCGUAAUUUGUGGUAGUGGGGCUGUGUACGCGCGGCCCUCCUAAAUUCUAUUUUCUAAAUUUUGUUCCUUUCUUUUAUGUCUAUUUCAUCUUGUAUGGGAGUAACUUUGGAUCUCCAAAAAGUGAUUUUAAGUAAAUAUGGCAAUAUUGUACAUGAUAUAUUCAUUAACACGAUAAGAAUUCACAUGAAAAUUUUAGUAUUUGGGUCGAGUUAUCAUGUUGUGUCGACUCGACCCGUUAGCCACAUGUUAACUUAACGACCCGUGUCGUGUAAAUUCGCAAAUAUCUGUUAACCCAUUAAACUUAAGGGCAUUUUUGUAAGUUUAUAUAUAUAUAUAUUUUUCUUUUUUUCUCCUUCUCUUUCUUCUCUUCCUCCCCCAACUCUCCCACUAUCUAUCUCUGUAAGUUUCUUCUCUUUUCAUUAUUUUUCUUUAUUUUCAUCAUAAACCAAACAUAGCUUUCUUUUAUGUUCUUCCCUCUCAUUGUGCCACCCCCUCUCUCCUCCUCCUUCAGCAAACCCUCUCUCACUAGUUGUGUCAUUAAUGGAGGUUUAUGGAUUGGGGAAAGAGGAGAGAAAUAGGAAGAGGGGGGCUACGCAGGGGUUUUGGUUUUGGUUUUUUUCUUCAAUUUUUUUUCUUUUUUAAUUUGUUUAAAUUCUUAAAGGAUGAAACGGGUUGUGUCGUGUCGUGUGAUUCACGAAUUGUAACGGGUCGUGUUUAUGUUUGAUAUUUUUCACUUGUUUUCUUAUCAUGUCGUGUCAUGCGAACUCGUUCAGAAAAGCGUGUUGACGUGAACAUGACACGAACAUUGUAAACACGACACAAAUGCUAUAUCUAAUUUUAAGUAAUUCUAAGAGCAUGUGCUUCUUCAUAAAAGUGAUUAUUGAUCUCUCCCGAAUCACUCCCAAACGAACCCUAAGUUUUUAUACUAAAUUGUAUUCUGUCAAUUUAUUUCACCUUAUAGAAAUUACUUGAUCACAUUUUAGCUAUUAUAUUUUCAUAAAACAUAGAUAUGGCGCAUGCUUUUUAAAAGUUUUUUUUUUUUAAGUGUAACUUUGCUAAUAACAUUUCAUCAUCAUGCACCAUUAUUAUCACCGAUUGAUUAUAUGUUAUUUAUGUCACAUUUUAGUUAUAAUAUUUUCAUAAAAUAUAGUGUGAUUUUGAUUAUGAAUUAUUAUUAUUUUCAAUAAGAACUACGGUCAAACUUUAAUAAAAUGUAAUUAUGCAUGGUAAUUAUUUUCAACCAUGAUGUAAUCAUUGUAAUGUGGCAAAUGACGAAUAAUGAAUGUAGUUGUAAGCCAUUUUCCAAUUCCCUGGUUUAUUUUGUUAAAAUUAAUCAGUGAAAAAGCAAGCUUAUGCUUUGAGUCUAUAUAAACUAUAAAGCUAAUAUUUGAUUAUUUCGAGUUCUGAAUUUGAGGAUAAUUGAGAACGGAACUCAAUAUUUCUAUUGAGUUGAUUGAUUUUGUUAUCAAGAGAGCAAGUAGUAAUGCAGGAGAACUCUGUGUAACUCUAUCAUCCUAUAUUAGAUUUCAUCCUGGUGGUUCAGUUAAGCCCUAAAAGAUCUCAAUGUGGAGAUUAGGGCGGGGUUGAGUCUCAGCUUACAUAUAGGAUAGGAGGGGGUCAAUAUUUGCAAGGAUCCCACAUCGAUAAAAGAACAGUUAAGAGACCAGAGGACGAGCUAUAACUAAGGACUAAGGAGCAACUUUACAACAUACUUACCUGGACGGGGUCAAUGGGUGAUCAGGAAGACUCAUGGCCUAAGUUGGUGACCUCCAUUGCACUUAGGAGGGGUGCUAGCUUGAGGUCUCCCCAAGUGGGAGAGCCUACGUCAUAAUUUAUUGCAAUGGGGGCUUGCGUUCGCGCAGCCCCUGCUCAAAGAUAAUCCAAACUUUUUCAAAUUUCUUUUAAUUGAUUAAAUAGAUUAUUUUCUUCCGAAGUACCUGCCUUGAUUUUGUAAAAUUUCACAACCCUGGAGUUGUAUGUGAAUUUGAUAAUUCUCACUUUUAUUUUGGUUGAAUUCUAUGGAAUUUGAAGGUUUCAUGAAAUUAUACUCUGAAGACUGCUUUGAUUAUACAGGCAUAUAUAAGCAGAGAGAGCAUAGCAACUAUGAAUUCUGGAGAAAAGACAGCAACUAUGAAUUCUGGAGAAAACAGACAGCAACUAAGAAAUCUGGUUUGAAGAUUUAUGGUCUUAAGAACAAUUUACACCAUAAAAACCAAACCUUUAUGUGUGGUGUUCGAACCAUGCGUUUUCUCACCUUUGAGUAAGAUAUACUUUGCCAAAAAAGGAAGGAAAACUUAACAGACUUAUUAUAUAUUGGGUCGAAGAAUAUUGUCUCUGUUUGAUCGAUACUCAGUGCCAGAGCAAUAAGAAACACGGAGCAGUGCCCAUGUAUUUUGGAACAUAGGAAACCACGGUAAUUUUAACUUGGUUGUCCCACAUCGAAGAACAAGAGAAACAAAUGGCAUGCGCGUACUAUAAAAUAGGAAGAGGUGGUGCCUUUAAAACAUACUUACCUGGACGGGGUCAAUGGGCGAUCAAGAAGGCUCAUGGCCUAGGUUGGUGGCCUCCAUUGCACUUAGGAGGGGUGCCUGCCUAUGGUCUCCUCACUGUAGGAGAGCCAACGUCAUAAUUUGUUGCGGUGGGGGCCUGCGUCCGCGCGGCCCCUGUCAAUUCUAUAAACAAACUUUCUUGUGAGUUUUCAACGUAAAAGGCCCAUUAGCUAAUUAUUCAAAAAAAAAAAAAAGUAGGUCUCACAUUAUUAUUGACUAUAAAUAAAGGGGGCUAAACCCAAAAAAUAUUGAGUCCAAACUUGCAUUAGUUUCUGCUAUUAUAUUUACCUCGUUUCUGAUUUAUUUUUGCUGCUGCUGCUCCUGAAUCCCACAAACUAAUUGCUGCUGUUAAGGCAAAUUAUUGAGGUUAAAUGCGUUUAUGAUGUCAGCG